GGGCCCGCACAAGCGGUGGAGCAUGUGGUUUAAUUCGAUGAUACGCGAGGAACCUUACCAGGGCUUAAAUGUAACGGGACAGAUCUAGAGAUAGAUCCUUCUUCGGACUCAUUACAAGGUGCUGCAUGGUUGUCGUCAGCUCGUGCCGUGAGGUGUCAGGUUAAGUCCUAUAACGAGCGCAACCCCUAUCGUUAGUUGCCAGCGAGUAAUGUCGGGAACUCUAACGAAACUGCCAGUGCAAACUGUGAGGAAGGUGGGGGAUGACGUCAAAUCAUCACGGCCCUUACGUCCUGGGCUACACACGUGCUACAAUGGCCGGUACAGAGAGCAGCCACUUCGCAAGAAG
rnacentral:rRNA from 1 species